rnacentral:rRNA from 1 species
AUUGAACGCUGUCUGAAUGCUUUACACAUGCAAGUCGAACGGCAGCACGGACUUCGGUCUGGUGGCGCGUGGCGAACGGGUGAGUAAUGUAUCGGAACGUGCCCAGUCGUGGGGGAUAACGUAGUGAAAAUUACGCUAAUACCGCAUACGAUCUAUGGAUGAAAGCGGGGGAUCGCAAGACCUCGCGCGAUUGGAGCGGCCGCUAUCAGAUUAUAGAGUAGUUGGUGGGGUAAAGGCCCACCAAGCCAACGAUCUGUAGCUGGUCUGAGAGGACGAACAGCCACACUGGAACUGAGACACGGGCCAGACUCCGACGGGAGGCAGCAGUGGGGAAGUUUGGACAAUGGGCGAAAGCCUGAUCCAGACAGUCCGCGUGCAGGAUGAAGGCCCUCGGGUUGUAAACUGCUUUUGUACAGAACGAAAAGGUUUGUAGUAAUACUAGGAGCUCAUGACGGUACGGUAAGAAUAAGCACCGGCUAACUACGUGCCAGCCGCCGCGGUAA